CCCGGCAAUGAAUUACCGGGCUAUUAUCCUACGUCCCUUUGGGACG
rnacentral:sRNA from 1 species